rnacentral:rRNA from 1 species
GGUAUUUUGACCGUGCAAAGGUAGCAUAAUCAUUAGUUUUUUAAUUGGAAGCUGGUAUGAAAGGUUGGAUGAAAAAUAAGCUGUCUCUAUUUAAUUUUAUUAGAAUUUUAUUUUUAAGUUAAAAAGCUUAAAUUUUAAUAGAAGACGAGAAGACCCUAUAGAGUUUUAUUUAUUUCUUUAAUAAAAUUACUAGUAUCGAUUAUUUUUAUUGAUUAGAUAAAUUUGGUUGGGGUGAUCAAAAAAUUUGAUAAACUUUUUUUACAUAUAAACAUUUAUAUAUGAUUAAUUGAUCCUUAAUUUAAGAUUAAAAGAUAAAAUUACCUUAGGGAUAACAGCGUAAUUUUUUUUAAGAGUUCAAAUCGAAAAGAAAGAUUGCGACCUCGAUGUUGGAUUAAAAUAAAAUUUUGGUGUAGAAGCUAAAA